rnacentral:rRNA from 1 species
GACGAACGCUGGCGGCGUGCUUAACACAUGCAAGUCGAGCGGGUAAGGCCCUUUCGGGGGUACGACGAGCGGCGAACGGGUGAGUAACACGUGGGUGACCUGCCCUUAGCUCUGGGAUAAGCCUGGGAAACUGGGUCUAAUACCGGAUAUGACUCCAUGACGCAUGUUGUGGGGUGGAAANCCUUGUGCGGCUAGGGAUGGGCCCGCGGCCUAUCAGCUUGUUGGUGGGGUGAUGGCCUACCAAGGCGACGACGGGUAGCCGGCCUGAGA